rnacentral:rRNA from 1 species
AUUGAACGCUGGCGGCAGGCCUAACACAUGCAAGUCGAACGAGUGGCGGACGGGUGAGUAAUGUCUGGGAAACUGCCUGAUGGAGGGGGAUAACUACUGGAAACGGUAGCUCAUACCGCAUACCAUCGGAUGUGCCCAGAUGGGAUUAGCUAGUAGGUGGGGUAAUGGCUCACCUAGGCGACGAUCCCUAGCUGGUCUGAGAGGAUGACCUGCCACACUUGAACUGAGACACGGUCCAGACUCCUACGGGAGGCAGCAGUGGGGAAUAUUGCACAAUGGGCGCAAGCCUGAGGCAGCCAGGCCGCGUGUAUGAAGAAGGCCUGCGGGUUGUAAAGUACUUUCAGCGGAGAGGCGUUACCCGCAGAAGAAGCACCGGCUAACUCCGUGCCAGCAGCCGCGGUAAUUC